CAGCAUGAACUUAGCUUGCUAAGUUUGAUGGCGACCGGCGCACGGGUGAGUAACACGUAUCCAACCUGCCGAUGACUCGGGGAUAGCCUUUCGAAAGAAAGAUUAAUACCCGAUGGCAUAGGAUUAUCGCAUGAUAAUCCUAUUAAAGAAUUUCGGUUAUCGAUGGGGAUGCGUUCCAUUAGGCAGUUGGCGGGGUAACGGCCCACCAAGCCUUCGAUGGAUAGGGGUUCUGAGAGGAAGGUCCCCACAUUGGAACUGAGACACGGUCCAAACUCC
rnacentral:rRNA from 1 species